rnacentral:rRNA from 1 species
CCUACGGGUGGCAGCAGUAGGGAAUAUUGGGCAAUGGUCGGAAGACUGACCCAGCCACGCCGCGUGCAGGAGGAAGGCCCUCUGGGUUGUAAACUGCUUUAGCAGGGGAAGAAAAGACUCAUGCGUGAGGAAUUGCCGGUACCCUGAGAAUAAGCACCGGCUAACUACGUGCCAGCAGCCGCGGUAAUACGUAGGGUGCAAGCGUUGUCCGGAUUUAUUGGGUUUAAAGGGUGCGUAGGCGGCCUGUUAAGUCAGUGUUUAAAUUUUGCAGCUUAACUGUAGGUAUGGCAUUGAUACUGAUGGGCUUGAAUAUUUUAGAGGUAGCUGGAAUUUAUGGUGUAGCGGUGAAAUGCAUAGAUACCAUAAGGAACACCGAUAGCGGAGGCAUGUUACCAUGAGAUGAUUGACGCUGAGGCACGAAAGUGUGGGGAUCAAACAGGAUUAGAUACCCUAGUAGUC